AUGACUAAGAACAAUUUGCUUAAAAGGGGGAUAGAUAGGAACCCUGACUGUCUUUUCUGCUCUGAACAGGAAACUGUAAAUCACUUGUUUUUUGACUGUGUGGUUGCAAAAAACGUCUGGGGUGCAGUCUCCUCGUUUCUUUCCAUAGAAGUAGGAUCUAGCUACUUUUCCAUUGCCAAAUUUUGGCCUGCUAACAAGAAACAUGAAGUACUUAAUGCUUUUUGUGCUUGUGUCUUGUGGAGCUUGUGGAAAACUAGAAAUAAACAUGUUUUUGACAAUGCAAUCUGGUUUGAUGUUAAACAGAUCUGGUGGCUGGUCUGGAGGACCCUCAAGAGGUGGAUGAUUCUGUACACCAAGGACUCGCUCGAGAAAAUGCAGGGGAUACUACACUGGAUAUCCUGCAUACUCAAAAACCCACUCCAAUUGACUUUGGAGUGA
rnacentral:rRNA from 1 species